CCUUUGGAACUAAACAUUCCAGUUUUUUUGCGGGCACUGUAUGCAAUCAUUCAUGAACCAAUAAAUUAUUGGGUAACUUUUCAAUGACAAAAAAUUCGAAUACUCGAUUCUUACUCCAUUGAAAUAUUUUGCAUGGUACGUAAAUCGCGUGUAUUUAUAAAUUACUACAUCAAUAAGUUCAAGGAAAAUUAAUUACGAAUUCUCGCUGAGCCGUUAUUUACGGUGAGAUGUAUCAACCUUUAAUUUCUUUUAUACCAAUAUUGAACAAUUAAACAAAUAUUUGCAUACAUUCCUACGCAACUCCUCCCUAUUCUCGUCAAACGCAUGCGUCUUUAAAAGCAGUUAACAUGUACGUCACUAUUUCAAAAGUUGUUUAUAUGAAUACUAAACCAGCGUUAACGAAGAUAGUGCAAUCAUUAUAACUGAUGUGUUUGGGAGGCCGGAAGAAAGUUCAUGUGAAAUGUGAAAACCAGACGUAACUACAAACGAACACGUUAGUUCGUAUCGUAACACAUAAAAUAUCUCAGUUCGAUAGAUACCGGUAAAUAUACCACGCGUUUAUAAAAUCACAUUUUUUCAAUCGUUCCUAUGUCAGACUCGGCAAUUUUCUGUUAAAAAAAAGUUUAAAGUUAUGUCAGUGUCGUAUAGAUCGUUAACUGAAUUUUAUUGGGACGAAUUAUCAAGUUAUAUUGGCAGAUGUGGAACGCUGAAGAUGCUAAUUGGAAAUCAUAAAGUUGGUUUGUGAAAAAAGAAAAUGUCCAAAGUGGACGAUAUGUACAAAUCGUCCCAAAAAACGGUCUUGAAAGAUGUGAACGGUUCUAGGAUUGAUAACAUCAGUAAUGACUUUCUACGAAUACCUGAAAAGAAACUGAAUCAACUAAAUUCACCAGAAAUACGUUGUUCUCCAUCGCCAUGCGUUUUUGACUUUGAAGGAAAUAUAAUUAGAAGGUGUGGAGGUAAAUAUUUUAAAUAGUAUAAAGCGUAUAUGUACAUGGUCUCAUCAAAUUUGACCCGAACUGGUGCAUUCAAACUUCGCGCUUAAAUAGAAUCGCUAACUUUUUUGUAUUGAAUUGGUACAAUUUUUUUUCUGUUCGUGCAGAGUGUGAGCACCAUAUUUCAAUUAGUGUGUGUCAGCUAUUUGUGGACGAUUAGAAAAAUUUGUCUGGCGAAAGAAACAUGUUGAGCAACGAGUUUGCUAGAAAUUUCGUUUUUUGAAUAGAAUUACGUGUACCAAAUCGUUGAAAAUUUUGGAGAAGUAUAGUCUACUUUAUCUCGAACGUAACUAUUUUAUUGUUGCAAUGCAUUCAGUGGUAGUCGUGCAAUGAAAUUGUCGAAAACGUACCUCAUGCGAGUCUUUCAUUCACCACUGUUAACGACGUUAUCAUCAAAAAAUUUGAGGAAAUGGUGUUCGAAAAUCGUCGCGUCAGUAUGCGAGAUAUAACAGAGGUUCUGAACAUCACUUAUGUAUCGAAUCAACAUAUUUUGCCUAAUGUUUUGGGUAUUAAACGUGUGAAUGGUAGAUUUGAAUCUAUUGCAGAAACAACGUCGAGUAGACAUUGCAAAAGACAACUUAAUUUAGGAUCUUACAUUCAUCAAACGUAUUAUUACUAGUGACGUCAGAGAAACGUGGGUUUAUGAAUAUGAAGUCGAAACUGUUCAAAAAUCAAAUGAAGUCGCUCAAAAAAUGAACCGGAACCGAAAAAACCACGUAAAAAUUGAUAGAAAAUCGAAGUAGGACUCAUCGUUUUUUCCAUUAUCGUGUUGUGAUUUCCCAUGAAUUUAGUCCAGAGGGUCAAACUACUUGGCAAUAUUGAAGUAUUUACAUAGAACAAUUUAUCGUAAACGACCGGAUUUUUAGACAGUCAAUCAUAAAAUUUUCACCACGAUAAUGCUUCGUCACAUUCCAGCAAGAUUGUCAAACUGAAACAUCCUUUUCGGACAACGCGCUAUGAGCCAUAAAAAGUAAUUGACUUGGGGUACUGGAAGUCAUCUCAGCCGAGUCUUACAAUUGUUAACAUUGGAUUAAGUGUUUGCGAGCUUAUAUUGGCUCCAAAGGACUUUAUUUCAAAGGCUAUAAUAAACAUUUUUAUUAAAAUACGUAAAAAUUUUAUAUUUUCUUGGGUCAGUGCGGGUCAAAUUUGAUCAUAUAUGUCAGAUUUUGUCUACAGUUACCUAAAAAAAUUGAUAUGAUGUCCUGAUUCCUAAUCUACUGGAAUUGUGAAUAGGAUAUUCUAAUUAUUAUGCUGUUUGAGUUUUUCUCAUAAAACUGUUAUCUUCUCAUUGCACUUUACUUCUAUCUUCUUUUUGUCUAUUAUUUAUCAACUGAAUUUUUAUUUUCUGUUGCAUUCUAUUUACAUUUUGCUUUUGAAUACAACCAUUACUAAAAUUUCUCCUAUAAUUUAACUUCCAGUUCAACUAUUUCGGUUGUUUUAUUAUUUAUUGUGACGCCUAUCUAGUUUGGAACUAUUAAAUCAAAUAUUAUGAGGUGUGGCUAAGUAACGAGAUUAGCGCUGCUACAGAAAAAGUACGCAUGCGCCAAAGAUCAACAACUGUCAGCUGUUUAGCACGAAGUCUGCUGUUUCGAAUGCGAUAUCUACCGUGUCUAUAGACAAACCAUAGAAGCUGUUGCCUUCGUUUGUAUAGGCGCUGUAUUUUUGUGCAGCCAUAAAAAUAGAGCAGCAGAUUGUUGUGAAAUUUCAAAUGAAACUUGGAAAAACUCCAACUCAAACUUAUAAUUUAUUAAAACAAGUGUAUGGCAAUGAAUGUUAGUCGUGUCCACAUGUUUUUAAGUGGUUGAAUCGUUUUCAAGAUGAGAAGAUGUUGAAGCUCGUGAAAAUAUUUGAAUGCAAUUGAAAAUGACUCAAACUUAUUAAAAAUGUUAUAACGUGUGAUGAAUCGAACCUGCAUUGAAAGGAACAACUUUUGAGUCUGUUAAAGCUGUGAAAGAAAAAGCGUCGCACGCCUUGAAGGAACUGACAGAAGAGGACUUCCUGCACUCUUUCGUACAAUGGAAGAUUCGUAGGGAUAGAGAAGGGUUAUAUAUUGAAGGUGAUAAAUAAAUGUAAAUAAUACAUCAGAAGUCUUUUGUUUUUUGUUCUAGAAUUUUAUUUAGGUAUAUAAAUGUGUAAACGUAGUUGGUUUAGUAGUAAAAAGAACGAAUCAGUAAAAGUAAUCGUAGAAAUUAUUUAAGUGAUAUUUAUAAGUAAAUUAUUAUAAGUUAAGUGUAUGGUAUAGUGUGUGAAUAAAUUAAGAACGUAAGAGAUAGUGUUUAUUAAUUCACCCCACGAAUAAAAAGAGUGUAAUGUAAAUAAAUACGAAAAACGUUACAAUAUGUUAUAUCAUCGAUGUCGUUAUUUAAUAGCCACACCUCGUUUAUUAGUAUUGACUUGAUUUUAUAUAUUUACCUAGUUGGUUACAUUUUGUUGAUGUAUAAAUUCGAAAAUUCUACGUUCUGUGGUUCAAGAAUAUUAUGAAAAAAGUAAGAGAACAUGUAGAGAAAACACAAAGACGACAAAUUCAACACAAUGAAGAGAAUUUAUGAAAUAAAACAGUUACAAUUUUGAUACAUUUCUACUUACGCUAUCACCAUAGAUUCUCAUUCAACUGUAUAUUCAGAAAUUUUGUCCUCUCAACCUUAAUGGUGGAUCAUUACCAUUUUAUUAUAUGACUGGUUAAAAAUGGAUGAUUCUAUUGAAACAAAAAUUAUUGCUUUUUAAUUUAUAAAUAAUUAGUCAUUAAAUCAAGGUAACCCAUGCUCGUCGUCUUUGUUCAACAUAUAAUAUUUGACGCCAGUAUUAGAAAAAAUCAUAUUGAUACUAAAGGGCGAUAUCGUGAAUUUAACUAGACUAAAAAUAUUAAUCCAAAACGUCCUAGGUAGGUUAGAAGCAAGAGCAAAAGUAAAUACUCUAUAUAUAGGAGGAUGGUCCCAGAAGUACCUGUUUUGACCUAGAGAUGGCGUUAGUUGCCGCAGUAUUAGAAAGUACACAAUAUGUACAGCAUACUUUUCAAGUUUGAAGACACCACGUUAUUCAGUAUUUGCUUGACAGCCAUCAAUAGUGAAGGUUUUUAGUGAGACUGCUCCUUUGUUAUCAACGGUAUAAUAUUAGGUAGCCGAGUUUAAACGAGGCCACACAACCUGCGAAGACCAGCAGUCGACCAAAAGAGGUGACGACUUCGGAAAUGUUGAAGAAAAUCCACAAAACGGUACUGGAUGAUCGUCGGCUAAAAGUGUGUGAACUAGUAGAAAUAGUAGGCAUUUCCAAAAGUGCAUCGCAUAUUUACUGAAAAUUUGGACAUGAAAAAGCUAUCUGCAAGAUGGGUGCCGCGUUUGCUCACAAUGGAACAAAAACAACGUCGUGAAGAUGUUUCCAUCGAGUUUUUGGCAAUGUUUCACAGAAAAGCCGUUUCAUAAUUAAAACUUGAAUUGCUACCUCAUACACCUUAUUUGCCAGAUUUAACCCCAUCGGAUUAUUUUCUAUUUUCAGACUUGAAACAAUGUCUCGGUGCUCAAAAUUUUUUCACCAAUGAUGGUGAUGUUAAUUUAAUGGCUAUUUUGAAGAACUAGAUGAUUCUUAUUAUAAAAAGGGUAUCCAAUUUAUUGAACACCUCUGGAAAAAGUGUAGCUAAAAGGAGAUUACGUUGGAAAAUAAAUAUUUUUUUUUCAAAAUUUGUGUUUUUAUUGUUGGGCCAGGUUCUUCUGGGACCAUCCUCGUAAAUGAACAAAAAAUUAAAUAUAUGGUAUUGGAAGGGAACUCGCAAAGACCAACGAGCAAUUUAUCAAUAAAAAUAGACAAUGGAAAAGAAUAUUGCCGUAAAGAGGUAACCCAAUUCGAAUAUCCGGGGGUAACAAUUAAAAACAAAAA